rnacentral:lncRNA from 1 species
UCAGACUUUGACUGGAGCUUGAGUCAUUGGCUUUCCUGGUUCUCAGGCCUUUGGACUUGGACUGGAACUGUACCAUUGGCUCUGCUAGGUCUCCAGCUUGCCCAUUGCAGAAAGUGGGACUUCUUGGCCUCUCUCUCUCCGUAGGUGUAGGCUAACCCAAGAAGAAUAAAGCAUCGGCUUCCCUGACAUGCUGCUCCCCCCAAAACAGAGUGCCAAUAUGAUUCCAAGGUUCUUAGCACACUGUAUAUUACCUCACUCCUCCUACAGGGGUCUGGAACUGAACUUGCAAUUUCUCCAAGAUAUGUCGGUAUCUCUCUCCAUGCUGUGCUGCGUGGGCUUUGGGAGCGGUGAUGUGGACCAUUUGAAAUUGUCCUUGCUACCUCUUUAAUGCAUAUUUUUAUAUUUCUAUGCUCCACCCAAGUGCUGUAGUCUCUCAACUGCCUUCUUUUUGUUCUUCAGCUUUUAUGAAGCUAUUUUCAAGUGUGAGUAGUUGUCCAAAUUCAUGUUUCUUGAGGGAACAAGUGACUUGUUUGUAAGUUGACUUGUAUAUCUUUUUAUAGCUGAGAUUUUAUCCUGUGAUCUUACUAACUCAGGAAUUUUUUGGAGAUUCUUUGCAGUUUUCUAAGUAGAAUAACCAUAUUAUAUUUAUUAUUAUUUUCCUUCUUACUUUGGUUUUAAUUUGCUCUUUUUUUACAUGUUUUCUGAGUUAGAAACUUAGGUUAUUGAUUUGAUACCCUUAUUCCUUUAUAACAUAUGCAUUUGAUUGUGUAAGUUUUUCUCUAAGCACUGCUUUAGUGCAUCCCACAAAUUU